AUGCUUUCUUUGGCAGCACAUACGCUAAAACUGGAACAAUACAGGGUAGAAUAGCAUGGCCCCUGUGCAAGGAUGACACACAAAUUUGUGAAGCAUUCCAUAUUUUC
ensembl:snRNA U6 U6 spliceosomal RNA